UACGUAGGGUGCGAGCGUUGUCCGGAAUUAUUGGGCGUAAAGAGCUUGUAGGCGGUUUGUCGCGUCUGCCGUGAAAAUUCGAGGCUCAACCUCGAACUUGCGGUGGGUACGGGCAGACUAGAGUGUGGUAGGGGAGACUGGAAUUCCUGGUGUAGCGGUGAAAUGCGCAGAUAUCAGGAGGAACACCGGUGGCGAAGGCGGGUCUCUGGGCCGAUACUGACGCUGAGGAGCGAAAGCAUGGGUAGCGAACAGG
rnacentral:rRNA from 1 species